GGCUGCUUCAGCAGAGCCACGGAUUAAGGAUAGCCUGGGACUGCAAGAAAGAGAGACAUAGAAACUUUGCCCACAGCCCAAUCCCACACAUAAAUGUGUCAGAACAAAAAGAUCAGUAUAUGGUGGUAACUGAUGCGGUCCUCCCAGCAUACUGAGCUGCCUUUUCUUGCUCUUGGCCCUUUAUGAAUAAGGAGUUGAAUCAGCCUGUGAUAAGGCAACUGAGAAGUGCUGGCAUUUUGAAAAGGAUAACCUGAGAAGCUGCUGCUGAUAGCAAUGGCACCCCACUCCAGUACUCUUGCCUGGAAAAUCCCAUGGACGGAGGAGCCUGGGAAUUCCAAGAGGCUGUGGAAACACCUCUUACUUAGCUACUGCUGAUUGGAAAUCUGGUACCCCCACAAAGUGCUCUGAGGUGCUCAGCAGGGGAAAAAAAUCCCUCUAAAAUCAAGGAAAGGAUUCUGCCCCAGAUCUCGUCCUGAGGGUCUACCCACCCCCAGCUGGCUCCUAGAGAAAGGAAAAACAAGGCAAUCUCUAAGGCAAGUGUGUUACAAUAACAGUUGUUCCCAUACCCAGAGCUCUCCUUUAGAGGUGCAUGUCUGUCAGUAUCAGUCAGGAAUGGGGGGGUAGUCAACCUUGCCUUACUUAUGAGUAGAGAAAAUUUAUUCCUACUUCUUAAUAGGUUCCUUAUUAAGGAGAUUUCAUCUUUAUGUGAUCUUGAGGCACAUUUACAAAAUGCCCCGCAUUUUAGUACAGUAUCUUAAAAAGGUAAGUAUUUAAAAGUCUCAG
ensembl:lncRNA